GAACUGAAGAGUUUGAUCAUGGCUCAGAUUGAACGCUGGCGGCAGGCCUAACACAUGCAAGUCGAGCGGAUGAAGGGAGCUUGCUCCCUGAUUCAGCGGCGGACGGGUGAGUAAUGCCUAGGAAUCUGCCUGGUAGUGGGGGACAACGUCUCGAAAGGGACGCUAAUACCGCAUACGUCCUACGGGAGAAAGUGGGGGAUCUUCGGACCUCACGCUAUCAGAUGAGCCUAGGUCGGAUU
rnacentral:ncRNA from 1 species